GGUUAAGCGACUAAGCGUACACGGUGGAUGCCCUGGCAGUCAGAGGCGAUGAAGGACGUGCUAAUCUGCGAUAAGCGUCGGUGAGGUGAUAUGAACCGUUAUAACCGGCGAUUUCCGAAUGGGGAAACCCAGUGUGUUUCGACACACUAUCAUUAACUGAAUCCAUAGGUUAAUGAGGCGAACCGGGGGAACUGAAACAUCUAAGUACCCCGAGGAAAAGAAAUCAACCGAGAUUCCCCCAGUAGCGGCGAGCGAACGGGGAGGAGCCCAGAGCCUGAAUCAGUGUGUGUGUUAGUGGAAGCGUCUGGAAAGGCGUGCGAUACAGGGUGACAGCCCCGUACACAAAAAUGCACAUAUUGUGAGCUCGAUGAGUAGGGCGGGACACGUGGUAUCCUGUCUGAAUAUGGGGGGACCAUCCUCCAAGGCUAAAUACUCCUGACUGACCGAUAGUGAACCAGUACCGUGAGGGAAAGGCGAAAAGAACCCCGGCGAGGGGAGUGAAAAAGAACCUGAAACCGUGUACGUACAAGCAGUGGGAGCCUCUUAAUGGGGUGACUGCGUACCUUUUGUAUAAUGGGUCAGCGACUUAUAUUCUGUAGCAAGGUUAACCGAAUAGGGGAGCCGAAGGGAAACCGAGUCUUAACUGGGCGUUAAGUUGCAGGGUAUAGACCCGAAACCCGGUGAUCUAGCCAUGGGCAGGUUGAAGGUUGGGUAACA
rnacentral:rRNA from 1 species